GGAAUAGAUAAAUCUUUAUUUUUUUGCAAUUGUCUUAAGUUAAUAGUUGUUAAUUAAUUUAUGUUAAUAUUUACUACAAUAAUAUAUAGGAAGUGAAAUUGCAAGUUCUCCUUCUAGUUAUAGUGGUAAGACACAUCAAAAAGCAAUAAUUGAUCCAGUGUAUGAAUCCUUCAUCCUACAUUUGCUACAAGCUCCGGUUUGCCAGAAGCUCCUGUUUGCCAGUUACCCGGACAGUUCAUUCCAGUUCAGAGCAGGUUUACGACAAACAGGAUUUGUGAUUGAACAAAACCAAACCAAGCUCCGGUUUCCGGUUAAACUAGUCCGACUGACCAGUCCAGUUUAGUUUUCAAAACUAUGAUUAAAACCAUCCUAAUGCCAUGAAUGCUCAUAUUAACCUUCUAAUAGCUCAAAUUACCUUCGAUCAACUUAAUAGUCAGUUAAAACUAUAUAGUUCCUAAAAGAAGAGCUUUGAUCAAUUUGCCCAAAAACUAUAAUGAAUAGCUAAUCAUCAACGCAAAUAUUGCCUGAAUAAAUGAGUGAAUAACUUGAAACUGGUGCCCAAUUUAGUCAAUUUUGAAAUUCACACAAGUGAAAAUGCUAAGCUUAUAGGCUUAAUAAAAUUUGUUAUCCUAAUUAGCUUUUUAGCAGUCUACUCCUCAAUGAUUUAGGAAUAGUUUCAGGAAUUCCCAAUGGCUUGCUGUUCAGGCAGCUGCAACAAAAUGUCUUAUUUAAAGACUCUUAGAACAACCCACUUGAAAUCCAGAACAACUCAAAAAAUGAAAUGUAAUUACAGAAACAAGCUAUCAAAUAAGAACACAAUUUUAAAUGAGAUCCAUCCAUAUAGUAUGAGCAAAGCCAACUUGUAAGCCGAUC
rnacentral:misc_RNA from 1 species